rnacentral:lncRNA from 1 species
GGAAGGAGCUGCCUGUGAGAGCUGGGGCUGCUUGGGAUUUCCAGCCAGUUUGUUAAGGGUGAGGGUUUCCUGUUUGUCUCCCUGUGUCCCUGGUUUCAUCAUCACAGCCAAGUGUAGCAGCUGCCAGUGCUGCCAGGAAGUCCUCAGCGGGGCUGCAGCUUCAGAGUGGCGGAGGCACUGCAGGCGGAUCCCACUCCUCCAGGGCCUGUCUGGAGGGAUAUGGGAGCCAUCCAGUUCUGUGGACACUACAGGUCUUUAUGUUUUGAUCAUCAGCUGAGCAUUUGAAUUUCUUUGCAGACCAAAAUAAAGGCUUAGUGCUUUGAGGAUUGUUUUAUUUUUACAACCUUGGCAAAUAUCAGUUUCUUGAUCAGAACAGCAAUGGAGGUAGGU